rnacentral:rRNA from 1 species
AACGAACGCUGGCGGCAUGCCUAACACAUGCAAGUCGAACGAGACCUUCGGGCCUAGUGGCGCUCGGGUGCGUAACGCGGGGGAACCUGCCCUUAGGUUCGGAAUAACUCCCCGAAAGGGGUGCUAAUACCGGAUAAUGUCUUCGGACCAAAGAUUUACCGCCUUUGGAUGGGCCUGCGUUGGAUUAGGUAGUUGGUAGGGUAAAAGCCUACCAAGGCGACGAUCCAUAGCUGGUGUGAGAGGAUGAUCAGCCAGACUGGGACAGGGACACGGCCCAGACUCCUGCGAGAGGUAGCAAUGAGGAAUAAUGGACAGGGGGCGAAAGCCUGAACCAGCAAUGCCGGGCGAGUGAUGAAGGGCUUAGGGAUGUAAAGCUCUUUUACCCAGGAUGAUAAUAACAGUACCGGUAGAAUAAGCUCCGGCUAACUCCGU